CCUACGGGGCGCAGCAGUGAGGAAUAUUGGUCAAUGGGCGAGAGCCUGAACCAGCCAAGUCGCGUGAAGGAUGACGGCCCUACGGGGUGUAAACUUCUUUUGUCAGGGAGCAAUUGAGUACACGUGCGGGCUUAGCGAGAGUACCUGAAGAAAAAGCAUCGGCUAACUCCGUGCCAGCAGCCGCGGUAAUACGGAGGAUGCGAGCGUUAUCCGGAUUUAUUGGGUUUAAAGGGUGCGUAGGCGUAAUAUCAAGUCAGCGGUAAAAAUACGGGGCUCAA
rnacentral:rRNA from 1 species